rnacentral:tRNA from 1 species
CUGGGGUGUAGCUCAAUGGUAGAGUAUUUGCUAGGUUGCAUGAAGCCCUGGGUUCAAUUCCCAGUUCCUAGA